rnacentral:lncRNA from 1 species
CGUUGGUAAUUAUCUAGACGUCAUACAUAUCUAUAUCCUUCAUCAGUAUAUAUGUACAGUCUGAUGUAGAAAUGCAUCAUAAAUUGUGCUGGUUUUUCAAAAAUCUUGGAAGAAUUGUAAAUUUUUUAUUUUUACAAUCCUUUUUAAAUCUGUAUAUUCUGUAAGAUCAUAGUCUUCGAUGGUUUGUUUCACACAAGUUAACCAUGUGUUACACGCUUACACUGUAAGCUAGGUUGGUUUUAUUGUUUUUGUUUCUGUUUACGUAAUAUUAUU